rnacentral:rRNA from 1 species
AGAUUGAACGCUGGCGGCAUGCCUAACACAUGCAAGUCGAACGGAAGUAAGGGGCAACUCUUACUUUAGUGGCGGACGGGUGAGUAAUACGUAGGAAUCUACCUUCAAGUGGGGGAUAACCCGGGGAAACUCGGGCUAAUACCGCAUAAUCUCUAAGGAGCAAAGCAGGGGACCUUUCGGGGCCUUUCGCUUGAAGAUGAGCCUACGCCGGAUUAGCUAGUUGGUAGGGUAAAGGCCUACCAAGGCGACGAUCCGUAGCUGGUCUGAGAGGACGGCCAGCCACACUGGGACUGAGACACGGCCCAGACUCCUACGGGAGGCAGCAGUGGGGAAUAUUGGACAAUGGGGGAAACCCUGAUCCAGCAAUGCCGCGUGUGUGAAGAAGGCCUUCGGGUUGUAAAGCACUUUUAGUGGGGAAGAAAGCUCAAGCUAAUACCUUUGAGAAUUGACGGUACCAAAGAAAAGCACCGGCUAACUCUGUGCCAGCAGCCGC